GAUGAGCGCUGGCGGUAUGCUUAACACAUGCAAGUCGAACGGACUCUUCGGAGUUAGUGGCGGACGGGUGAGUAACGCGUGAGAAUCUGGCUUUGGGUUCGGGACAACCACUGGAAACGGUGGCUAAUACCGGAUGUGCCGAGAGGUAAAAGAGAAAUUGCCUGAAGAUGAGCUCGCGUCUGAUUAGCUAGUUGGUGAGGUAAAGGCUCACCAAGGCAGCGAUCAGUAGCUGGUCUGAGAGGAUGACCAGCCACACUGGGACUGAGACACGGCCCAGACUCCUACGGGAGGCGGCAGUGGGGAAUUUUCCGCAAUGGGCGAAAGCCUGACGGAGCAAUACCGCGUGAGGGAAGAAGGCUCUUGGGUUGUAAACCUCUUUUCUUAGGGAAGAACAAAAUGACGGUACCUAAGGAAUCAGCAUCGGCUAACUCCGUG
rnacentral:rRNA from 1 species